rnacentral:rRNA from 1 species
AGUGAACGCUGGCGGUAGGCCUAACACAUGCAAGUCGAACGGCAGCACAGUAAGAGCUUGCUCUUACGGGUGGCGAGUGGCGGACGGGUGAGGAAUACAUCGGAAUCUACUUUUUCGUGGGGGAUAACGUAGGGAAACUUACGCUAAUACCGCAUACGACCUACGGGUGAAAGCAGGGGAUCUUCGGACCUUGCGCGAUUGAAUGAGCCGAUGUCGGAUUAGCUAGUUGGCGGGGUGAAGGCCCACCAAGGCGACGAUCCGUAGCUGGUCUGAGAGGAUGAUCAGCCACACUGGAACUGAGACACGGUCCAGACUCCUACGGGAGGCAGCAGUGGGGAAUAUUGGACAAUGGGCCCAAUCCUGAUCCAGCCAUACCGCGUGGGUGAAGAAGGCCUUCGGGUUGUAAAGCCCUUUUGUUGGGAAAGAAAAGCAGCAGGUUAAUACCCCGCUGUUCUGACGGUACCCAAAGAAUAAGCACCGGCUAACUUCGUG